rnacentral:rRNA from 1 species
UACGUAGGAUGCAAGCGUUGUCCGGAUUUACUGGGCGUAAAGCGCGCGCAGGCGGCACAUUAAGUAAGGUGUGAAAUAUCCCGGCUCAACCGGGAGGGUGCACUUUAGACUGAUGAGCUUGAGGUCGGUAGAGGGGGGUGGAAUUGCUGGUGUAGCGGUGAAAUGCGUAGAUAUCGUUUGGAACGCCAACGGUGAAAACAGCUCGCUGGGGGUGUGCUGACGCUGAGACACGAAAGCCAGGGGAGCGAACGGG